AUGGCAUCUCUAGCCAGAACAGUUCAGUUGGUGCACGGCGACGUGGUGGCUCGACAAGUGUGGGCAACAGCAGUAGGGUUCCCCUUGAAGUGGAGCCUGAUGACUACAAUUCUGGGGUUGAUGAAGAGAAGCUAUAUUCUGAUGUUAUUCGGAAUUUACGAUGGGCACCUCGGACUGAAAACCAAGAUGAGGCUCACAAUGCAGUCCGUGUGGAUGAUGACGCGGUGGGUGAGGACGAAGACCUUGCAGCUGUUGAAUGGGACCCUUUGA
rnacentral:rRNA from 1 species